GAUGAACGCUGGCGGCGUGCCUAAUACAUGCAAGUCGAGCGAACGGACGAGAAGCUUGCUUCUCUGAUGUUAGCGGCGGACGGGUGAGUAACACGUGGAUAACCUACCUAUAAGACUGGGAUAACUUCGGGAAACCGGAGCUAAUACCGGAUAAUAUUUUGAACCGCAUGGUUCAAAAGUGAAAGACGGUCUUGCUGUCACUUAUAGAUGGAUCCGCGCUGCAUUAGCUAGUUGGUAAGGUAACGGCUUACCAAGGCAACGAUGCAUAGCCGACCUGAGAGGUUGAUCGGCCACACUGGAACUGAGACACGGUCCAGACUCCUACGGGGGGCAGCAGUAGGGAAUCUUCCGCAAUGGGCGAAAGCCUGACGGAGCAACGCCGCGUGAGUGAUGAAGGUCUUCGGAUCGUAAAACUCUGUUAUUAGGGAAGAACAUAUGUGUAAGUAACUGUGCACAUCUUGACGGUACCUAAUCAGAAAGCCACGGCUAACUACGUG
rnacentral:rRNA from 1 species